rnacentral:rRNA from 1 species
UGGGGAAUAUUGCACAAUGGGCGCAAGCCUGAUGCAGCCAUGCCGCGUGUGUGAAGAAGGCCUUCGGGUUGUAAAGCACUUUCAGCGAGGAGGAAGGUGGUGAGCUUAAUACGCUCAUCAAUUGACGUUACUCGCAGAAGAAGCACCGGCUAACUCCGUGCCAGCAGCCGCGGUAAUACGGAGGGUGCAAGCGUUAAUCGGAAUUACUGGGCGUAAAGCGCACGCAGGCGGUCUGUCAAGUCGGAUGUGAAAUCCCCGGGCUCAACCUGGGAACUGCAUUCGAAACUGGCAGGCUAGAGUCUUGUAGAGGGGGGUAGAAUUCCAGGUGUAGCGAUGAAAUGCGUAGAGAUCUGGAGGAAUACCGGUGGCGAAGGCGGCCCCCUGGACAAAGACUGACGCUCAGGUGCGAAAGCGUGGGGAGCAAACAGGAUUAGAUACCCUGGUAGUCCACGCCGUAAACGAUGUCGAUUUGGAGGUUGUGCCCUUGAGGCGUGGCUUCCGGAGCUAACGCGUUAAAUCGACCGCCUGGGGAGUACGGCCGCAAGGUUAAAACUCAAAUGAAUUGACGGGGGCCCGCACAAGCGGUGGAGCAUGUGGUUUAAUUCGAUGCAACGCGAAGAACCUUACCUACUCUUGACAUCCAGAGAACUUAGCAGAGAUGCUUUGGUGCCUUCGGGAACUCUGAGACAGGUGCUGCAUGGCUGUCGUCAGCUCGUGUUGUGAAAUGUUGGGUUAAGUCCCGCAACGAGCGCAACCCUUAUCCUUUGUUGCCAGCGGUUCGGCCGGGAACUCAAAGGAGACUGCCAGUGAUAAACUGGAGGAAGGUGGGGAUGACGUCAAGUCAUCAUGACCCUUACGAGUAGGGCUACACACGUGCUACAAUGGCGUAUACAAAGAGAAGCGACCUCGCGAGAGCAAGCGGACCUCAUAAAGUACGUCGUAGUCCGGAUUGGAGUCUGCAACUCGACUCCAUGAAGUCGGAAUCGCUAGUAAUCGUAGAUCAGAAUGCUACGGUGAAUACGUUCCCGGGCCUUGUACACACCGCC